CACUUGACAUUUUUAAUAUUUAUUUGGGUACGUAUUUACUUGACAAUAUUUGUAUCAUACCAGUGCAGUUUAAAAAGAAAAAUGAGAAAUGGUCACUAAAUGUUUGGCACAGAAUGGCAGAAUGAAUUAAACUAAUGCCCCAUUUAAUACCUGCUUUUUUAUUAUUAUUUAUUUUUACACUUGCAAUGAUUAAUCUCUACAGCACUAAUUCUUAAUACCGUGUAACAAGAACAAUAGGUUCUAAAAUAGAAGGUGCUUGAAUACAAAGACUUAUUCAGUCAGAACCAUUCAGAGAGCUUUCUCUACCCCAGUUUAUCAGCUGGUUUGGUGCAGAUACAGGUACAGCCACCGCAGAUGAAAAGGGGACAAGCCGGAUUGCUCCCACAGUCAUUGUGGGUUUCGAAAAUACAUGCCCUGGGAAGAACAGGUAGUGUGAUAAGGAAAUGAGCAGUCCUUUCUUUCCAUGUUGCUUUGUUGGCGCCAAAAUGAACUGGGACUUGGAGCAGGUCUCAGUCCCCCGAAUGACACAAAGCCCCUCCGAAAUGUUGAGUUGUCCUUAAAGGGCUGUCCUGUGAAAGCACUUCAAGCCAUGUUGCAUAAAGGUCCAGGCGGAAAGCCAGUGUUUCAGUGUUUAAACAGCCAUAAGCAUGUGUUUGCUUUGUGUCUGUGGCCAUGCUACAGGUCUGGAGAAAUCAUUCACAGCUGUCUCUAAUGGCCCAGAAGAGGAUUUUGGCAGGUUAAGAAUCUGGCAGCAUUUGUGGCCGACAAAUUUCACCACCUUCCAUAUCUCUAAGGUCCAGGACAUGACUGCCUUUAUUGGCAGAUUAAUGUAGGGAGGAUCGUCCUCUCCAGAUAAACAUCUCCUCUGCUCAGUGAUGCUCUCCAGGCCCUGUGCAUGCGGUGCUGUUUUAUAGGCUGCUCCCACCGCAGAACGUACACCGUCCAGUAAAGAACACCCU
ensembl:lncRNA